rnacentral:rRNA from 1 species
UACGGAGGGGGCUAGCGUUGUUCGGAAUUACUGGGCGUAAAGCGCACGUAGGCGGCUUUGUAAGUUAGAGGUGAAAUCCCGGGGCUCAACUCCGGAACUGCCUUUGAUACUGCAUCGCUUGAACGUCGGAGAGGUGAGUGGAAUUCCGGGUGUAGAGGUGAAAUUCGUAGAUAUUCGGAAGAACACCAGUGGCGAAGGCGGCUCACUGGACGACUGUUGACGCUGAGGUGCGAAAGCGUGGGGAGCAAACAGG